rnacentral:rRNA from 1 species
AACGAACGCUGGCGGCAGGCUUAACACAUGCAAGUCGAGCGCCCCGCAAGGGGAGCGGCAGACGGGUGAGUAACGCGUGGGAAUCUACCCAACUCUACGGAAUAACGCAUGGAAACGUGUGCUAAUACCGUAUACGGCCUACGGGGGAAAGAUUUAUCGGGGAUGGAUGAGCCCGCGUUGGAUUAGCUAGUUGGUGGGGUAAAGGCCUACCAAGGCGACGAUCCAUAGCUGGUCUGAGAGGAUGAUCAGCCACAUUGGGACUGAGACACGGCUCAAACUCCUACGGGAGGCAGCAGUGGGGAAUAUUGGACAAUGGGCGCAAGCCUGAUCCAGCCAUGCCGCGUGAGUGAUGAAGGCCCUAGGGUUGUAAAGCUCUUUCACCGAUGAAGAUAAUGACGGUAGUCGGAGAAGAAGCCCCGGCUAACUUCGUGCCAGCAGCCGCAGUAACAC